rnacentral:snRNA from 14 species
AGCUUUGCGCAGUGGCAGUAUCGUAGCCAAUGAGGUUUAUCCGAGGUGUGAUUAUUGCUAAUUGAAAUUAAUAAUUCCAUUUCCAACAGCAUCAGAAACAAAAUACGUAUGAGUAAGUUUAACAAAGGAAGUGUAAAGAUUCUGAAAACUUCAAAAUAUCAUUGAGAGAAAUUUUAAAAGAUCUAUGUAAGU